ensembl:lncRNA
AAUGACUUCCAUAGUAUAGAAAAUAAUAAUAAUUAUAAUAAAUACUAUGGAAGUCAAUGGCUACCGGCGACUGUUUGUUACCAACAACAUUCUUCAAAAUAUCUUCUUUCACUUGAGGGUGAGUAAAUGAUGACAGAAUUUACAUUUUUAAUCCCUGUUGAUGAUAAUUGUGUAUAAAUGUGGCAUAUGGUUGGAGAUUUGCGUCGUAAGGAAGGCUUUGUGAAAAAAUGUCUGAAUCAUUCAAUUGAUUUGAAUUACACUUUCAAAUAUGAGUCAGUGUUUGUGUGAAAUCCUCUUAUGACAAAAAUAUCAUUUCAUUUCCUUCAGUCAAUCCUUGCCUUAUUUGCAUGUAAUUUGCAUAAUACUGCGAAAACAAUUAAAAGGGCUCGACAAAGAACCGUAUAAUCAUCUCAAACCAACUUUGCUUUGUACUGCUUCCUUAAUCUGUCUGACUCUCUUGUUAUCUGCUCAUUUGUGUGUGCUCAGAAAAGGCCCCCUGCACACAGAUGGCCGUGUUCACGGCAUCAUUAGCGGGCUGUAAAACGAAGCGGGGGCCCCUUACAAAGGCCCGGGGUGACACUGGCACAGGCUCACCAUUGUGGUGGCGUCUGCCGGGCUUCCCCUAAAAGUGCUGGCAUAAAGCGUGCCUGGGGGCUACAAGUAGUUUGGCUUCGGCCGACUUUACCCCCAACACACACACAGCGUCCCACCCAUUGCUCUGCACACUGUCAUAUGGGAAUGUGUGUAAUCUGUGAAGAAGCCACUCUAUAGGCCUCGUCUUUGUGCCUAAGAGCCUUCUGGUGCUACGCAACAGAUAUUUCAGUGUGUGCAUAUGUGUUAUUGUGAGCACGUCCUUCAUUUGAAGAGCUGCUGCUUCCACACACACUUCAGAGGAGAGUGGAAACACACACAGCUCUGCAGUGAACGGACAGCCUUCAUGAUCUCAUAUCUCAAUGAAACGAAGAAGAUGCCCAUUUACAAGCACAGCUGUGUCUCUACAAAGCCCUCCUGCGGUCCUCAUUAAAACAUCCCCUCUGUCGCUAACAGCUAGUUAGCAUUGCCUGGAUUUUACACUCUGUCCCCAUCAAACGGGCCUAAAUUACUGUUAUUCCCCA